GCGUUUGUGGUUUAGUGGUAAAAUCCAUCGUUGCCAACUUCCUCUCUUUCUGAGCGAUCAGUAAAAGAAUCAGGAGUCAGAAUCGAUGGGCCCCGGGUUCGAUUCCCGGCGAACGCA